UAAAGCAAGAAAGGGCGUAUGGGGAAUGCCUAGGCACACUCCGGCGAAGAAGGACGCAGCAAACAGCGAAAUGCGACGGUGAGCGGUAAGCACGUGAAGAGCCGUCGAUAUCCGAAUGGGGGAACCCACACGGAGUCAUAUCCGUGUAUCACAUGUCGAAUACAUAGACAUGAUGAGGCGAGACGCAGGGAACUGAAACAUCUAAGUACCUGCAGGAAGAGAAAAUAAGAAUGAUUUUCUGAGUAGCGGCGAGCGAAAGGGAAAGAGCCCAAACCGAUCUUAGGAUCGGGGUAGUAGGAUCAUCGAGAAAUCUGACAGAGGAUCAUAGAGGAAUCACAUGGGAAGGUGAGCGAGAGAGGGUGAGAGCCCCGUACUCGAAAUGAGAGACUGGAGAGAGAUGACACCUGAGUAGGGCGGGACACGAGAAAUCCUGUCUGAAUCAGCCGGGACCAUCCGGCAAGGCUAAAUACGAGAGAGUGACCGAUAGUGAACCAGUACCGUGAGGGAAAGGUGAAAAGAACCCCGGGAGGGGAGUGAAAGAGAACCUGAAACCGUAUGUCUACAAGCAGUCGGAGCGAAAGCGACGGCGUGCCUAUUGAAGAAUGAACCAACGAGUUACGUGCACUAGCGAGGUUAAGUGGAAGACACGGAGCCGAAGCGAAAGCGAGUCUUAAGAGGGCGGAUAGUUAGUGUACGUAGACCCGAAACCGCAGUGAUCUACCCAUGUCCAGGUUGAAGCGCAGGUAAAAUUGCGUGGAGGACCGAACCUGUGAGCGUUGAAAAGCUUUAGGAUGAGAUGUGGGUAGAGGUGAAAUUCCAAUCGAACGCGGAGAUAGCUGGUUCUCCCCGAAAUAGCUUUAGGGCUAGCCUCAAGUAGUAAGUAUAGGCGGUAGAGCACUGAUCGGGCUAGGGGCCAUAAAGGUUACCGAACCCUGUCAAACUCCGAAUGGUUAUACUGUAGAGCUUGGGAGUCAGACUACGAGUGAUAAGAUCCGUGGUCAAAAGGGAAACAGCCCAGACCACCAGCUAAGGUCCCCAAUGUCGUACUAAGUGGAAAAGGAUGUGGGGUCUCUAAAACAACCAGGAUGUUGGCUUAGAAGCAGCCACCAUUUAAAGAGUGCGUAAUAGCUCACUGGUCGAGAGACCCUGCGCCGAAGAUUACCGGGGCUAAAGUACGAAACCGAAGCUGUGGCUACGACUUAGGUCGUGGGGUAGGGGAGCGUUCUGUGAGGGCUGAAGUCGUUCUGUAAGGAACGGUGGACUUCACAGAAGUGAGAAUGUUGGUAUGAGUAGCGAAAAGAAUGGUGAGAAUCCAUUCCACCGAAAGCAUAAGGAUUCCUGGGCAACGAUCGUCGUCCCAGGGUAAGUCGGGACCUAAUCCGAGGCAUGGAGCGUAGGAGAUGGACAACUGGCAGAUAUUCCAGUACCGGUAAUGAUUGUUUGAGCGAUGGAGUGACACAGGAGGGCAGGCAGGCAGGAGAUUGGUUGUUCCUGUACAAGCGUGUAGGAUGGGACGUAGGAAAAUCCGCGUCCUGUGAGUCUGAGGCGUGAUGUGGAGGUUCCGGAAACGGAACCGAAGCUGCUGACCCCACACUGUCGAGAAAAGCUUCUAGUUAGAGAAUUACCGCCCGUACCGUAAACCGACACAGGUAUGCGGGGAGAGAAUCCUAAGGUGCGCGGGAGAACCCUCGUUAAGGAACUCGGCAAAAUGUACCCGUAACUUCGGGAUAAGGGUAGCCGCUGUUGUGAAGUCUGCACAGACGGAGCAUGAGGCGGUCGCAGAGAAGAGGCCCAAGCGACUGUUUACCACAAACACAGGUGCCUGCUAAAGAGAAAUCUGACGUAUAGGUGCUGACACCUGCCCAGUGCCGGAAGGUUAAGGAAGGAUGUCCGGAGCAAUCCAAAGCAUUCGACCGAAGCCCCGGUGAACGGCGGCCGUAACUAUAACGGUCCUAAGGUAGCGAAAUUCCUUGUCAGGU
rnacentral:rRNA from 1 species